GACGGGGGGUCCUAGCGUUGUUCGGAAUCAUUGGGCGUAAAGCGGGUGUAGGUGGUUUUGUAAGUCAGGAGUGAAAGCCCUGGGCUCAACCCAGGAAGUGCUUUUGAUACUGCAAAACUUGAGUGUGGGAGAGGAUCGUGGAAUUCCUAGUGUAGUGGUGAAAUACGUAGAUAUUAGGAGGAACACCGGUGGCGAAGGCGGCGGUCUGGCCCAACACUGACACUCAGACCCGAAAGCGUGGGGAUCAAACAGG
rnacentral:rRNA from 1 species